AACGCACAUUGCGGCCGCGGGUCACUCCCGCGGCCACGCCUGUCCGAGGGUCGGCUACUCUGGUACUCGCCGGGUGCAUCAUCGCAUCCGGCGCGUUGGCGCGUCGCUCGCCGUUUUACCACGGCGACCGUCCGCCUCGAGACUGCAGCUUCGCCAACGUCCUCCGGCCUCACCGGGUCGGCGGCUCCAAAAACCGUUGCCGGUCUUCGGGGACGUGGUUCGGAUCGAACUGCUUCUCGCCCCGACGAAGCAACGGAGCCGCCAGCACUCCGCUUCACUGCGGAGCGACGGUGUCACUGGUUUUCCGGAAAGGGGACGUUUCGGGCGAAGAGUCGUCGGCGGGGGCCACCGUGCCGUCGCCGCCCGACAGACACAAAACUAGCUCCGACCUCGGAUCAGACGAGACUACCCGCUGAACUUAAGCAUAUCAGUAAGCGGAGGAAAAGAAACUAACAAGGAUUCCCUC
rnacentral:rRNA from 1 species